GAUUUCUGGUAUGGCGCGCCCGUCCCACGGUUGCAAAACCGCGAGUGAUGGUGUGCGCCUGCCAUCUUUUAUAGUGUACCGAACGCACUUAACUGGGCGGCUCGGCGUACUAUAUCUUUUACUUUGAAAAAAUUAGAGUGUUUAAAGCAGGCUUGCGCUAUGAAUACAUUAGCAUGGAAUAAUAAUUUAGGACUUGGCUCCUAUUUUGUUGGUUUCUAGGAGUGAAGUAAUGAUUGAUAGGGAUAGUUGGGGGUGCUAGUAUUCAUCGGCCAGAGGUGAAAUUCUUGGAUUCGAUGAAGACUAACUAAUGCGAAAGCAUU
rnacentral:rRNA from 1 species